rnacentral:misc_RNA from 1 species
UGGUUCCCGCAUCGAUGAAGAACGCAGCGAAACGCGAUAGUUAAUGUGAAUUGCAGAAUUCAGUGAAUCAUCGAGUCUUUGAACGCACAUUGCGCCUUCCGGCAUUCCGGGAGGCACGUCUGUUCGAGCGUCAGUAAAAACCCUUCCGGGCCCCCUUUUCCUCCUUCCGGGGGAACGGUGCGGCCGCGGGUCCCUGACCGCGGGGACGAACGCCGUCGCGCUUUCGGGCGCGCGCGGAACGUCCCCCGUCUAAACGAGAAAAAAGCUAGCGGGCCUAUUGCCGCGACCGCGAAGACUAGUAGGAAUACAACGUGUCUCCGACGGUGGCCGGCGGGCCCCGCCUAAUUCAACGAAAACCAUUUUCUUGACCUCGGAUCAGAUGAGGAUACCCGCUGA